GAUGAACGCUGGCGGCGUGCCUAAUACAUGCAAGUCGAGCGAACAGACGAGGAGCUUGCUCCUCUGACGUUAGCGGCGGACGGGUGAGUAACACGUGGAUAACCUACCUAUAAGCCUGGGAUAACUUCGGGAAACCGGAGCUAAUACCGGAUAAUAUAUUGAACCGCAUGGUUCAAUAGUGAAAGACGGUUUUGCUGUCACUUAUAGAUGGAUCCGCGCCGCAUUAGCUAGUUGGUAAGGUAACGGCUUACCAAGGCAACGAUGCGUAGCCGACCUGAGAGGGUGAUCGGCCACACUGGAACGGAGACACGGUCCAGACUCCUACGGGAGGCAGCAGUAGGGAAUCUUCCGCAAUGGGCGAAAGCUUGACGGAGCAACGCCGCGUGAGUGAUGAAGGUCUUCGGAUCGUAAAACUCUGUUAUUAGGGAAGAACAAAUGUGUAAGUAACUAUGCACGUCUUGACGGUACCUAAUCAGAAAGCCACGGCUAACUACGUG
rnacentral:rRNA from 1 species